ACGAGUUCGUAAUUUAUUCCAAGAAUGAGUAUAAUGUGAAUAUAAGUCGUUCUCAUUGGGCUCGCGCUUCCAAGAAACUGAAAACAGAUCAACGGGUUGCACCGAAAUCAAGUGACGUACCAGUUGUUGUAGUUGUUGUAUCAACCAUUGGUUUUCUCAUGGUGGUAGCAGUUAUCAUUAUUGUGGUGAUUGUUUUUUAUCCUCGCGACGCCCACUAGCAUCGCUGCUGACUCCGGCAUCCUGACCAGUUUGACUAUCGUUCACCACAAUUUCAAUGCACAACACCAUACUACCCUCGAAGGAUUCGAACCUCACACCUCAAUCUGAGAAACCUGACCACUUGCACUCGACCACUGAUUGCGUUGAAGAAUCUUCGUAAAUUUAGUCUAUUUAUAUAUUCUGUUAAGUAAACAUUCAAUGAAACAAACUAAUAAACCAUAAACUUUUUUCAAGAAUCUAAGAGGUAAAUCACAAAGCAUUUAGUUGUAAAGAAAUAAUAUUUUAUUGUCAGUUUUGUCAUUCGCACAACAACAUUACAUUAAUAGUUUCUA